rnacentral:rRNA from 1 species
GACAGAGGCCACGAACGUUGUUCGGAAUCACUGGGCAUAAAGCGCACGUAGGCGGCUAGGUCCGUCCGAUGUGAAAGCCCCCGGCUCAACCGGGGAAUUGCAUCGGAUACAGCCUGGCUCGAGGACGGUUGGGGUGAGUGGAACUCCUGGUGGAGCGGUGAAAUGCGUAGAUAUCAGGAGGAACACCGGUGGCGAAAGCGGCUCACUGGACCGUUUCUGACGCUGAGGUGCGAAAGCUAGGGGAGCAAACGGG